rnacentral:rRNA from 1 species
UACCCGCGGCAAGACGGAAAGACCCCGUGAACCUUUACUAUAGCUUGACACUGAACAUUGAGCCUUGAUGUGUAGGAUAGGUGGGAGGCUUUGAAGUGUGGACGCCAGUCUGCAUGGAGCCGACCUUGAAAUACCACCCUUUAAUGUUUGAUGUUCUAACGUUGACCCGUAAUCCGGGUUGCGGACAGUGUCUGGUGGGUAGUUUGACUGGGGCGGUCUCCUCCUAAAGAGUAACGGAGGAGCACGAAGGUUGGCUAAUCCUGGUCGGACAUCAGGAGGUUAGUGCAAUGGCAUAAGCCAGCUUGACUGCGAGCGUGACGGCGCGAGCAGGUGCGAAAGCAGGUCAUAGUGAUCCGGUGGUUCUGAAUGGAAGGGCCAUCGCUCAACGGAUAAAAGGUACUCCGGGGAUAACAGGCUGAUACCGCCCAAGAGUUCAUAUCGACGGCGGUGUUUGGCACCUCGAUGUCGGCUCAUCACAUCCUGGGGCUGAAGUAGGUCCCAAGGGUAUGGCUGUUCGCCAUUUAAAGUGGUACGCGAGCUGGGUUUAGAACGUCGUGAGACAGUUCGGUCCCUAUCUGCCGUGGGCGCUGGAGAACUGAGGGGGGCUGCUCCUAGUACGAGAGGACCGGAGUGGACGCAUCACUGGUGUUCGGGUUGUCAUGCCAAUGGCACUGCCCGGUAGCUAAAUGCGGAAGAGAUAAGUGCUGAAAGCAUCUAAGCACGAAACUUGCCCCGAGAUGAGUUCUCCCUGACUCCUUGAGAGUCCUGAAGGAACGUUGAAGACGACGACGUUGAUAGGCCGGGUGUGUAAGCGCAGCGAUGCGUUGAGCUAACCGGUACUAAUGAACCGUGAGGCUUAACCUUACAACGCCGAAGGUGUUU